AGAUGCUAUUUUAGUUACGUUUAUUGGUGAAGGUACCAGUAUAUUUUCCGGCUUCGUCACAUUCACAAUCCUCGGAGCGAUAGCCCACCGCCAGUGGGUGCACGUGUCGGAGGUAGUCUCAUCUGGGUGGAAUCUACAUAUUCCAACUGGCUGACUGGUACGUAGCGGCUCUUGUGCUCGCCGUAGGAAUCAUAGAAUGCAUCAUCGUGACCUGGAUAUAUGGAUUCAAUCGACUAUAUGAAGAUCUGGAACUCAUGAUAGGAAGAAAGGUUCCCGUCUUCUUCAAAGUCGUUCUAACAUUCGUCACUCCACUGGUAUUGUUGCGAAUAGCCAAGACGAUUUCUCCAUCAAAAAACAGGGUUCCGAACACGUGUUUAUCUCGAGCGAAGUACAGACAGAAACAAAAGAACUCGUUUAGAGAAAAUAUAUGUCACUUGUGCACUCGAUAAGCAAGAUGUUUUGAGUCUUGGUGUUACCUCCUCGUUAUUCAAAGUGACAAACUUUAAUUUUAAAGUGACAAACUCUAGUUUAUAAACACUGUGGCAUAUUUUUCACUAUUAGAGUUGUUUAUGAUAUCUGAAAUCGAACACGACUUAUACUGUCUUGUUUAGAUUCUCCAUGUUCGUACAGCCGAAGUGUUUCUGAUUAUCCUAGUGUGUCUAAUACCACAGAAUGCAUUGUUUAUAUUGGGGGGAAAAACCUAAAAAAACCAAACAACCGCACGUGCGUAUGAGAAGUAACUGUUAUAUAGGCGAGUUCUUCUCUAUGUUAGCUAUAUUUCCCUGUUUCAACGUCACAGUCUCGUUUCAAUCUGCUAUAAUAUUAUCCAAAUCCACCAACACUGUUUACUAGUUCUGAUACACGUGUUAUCGCUAUCAACAUUACAAAAUAUAUUAUCAUGAGUUGCCUUCCUACAGCCAAUGCACCAAGACUGGCAUAUCAAAGGUAUGUGUUUUCCUGUCUGUGGGAUGGUGCAUAUAAAAGACCCCUUGGUACUAUGGG
rnacentral:misc_RNA from 1 species